CCCCAGCUAGCUGAGUUGGUAGAGCAUGAGACUCUUAAUCUCAGGGUUGUGGGUUCAUGCCCCACAUUGGGCG
rnacentral:tRNA from 1 species